UACGGAGGGGGGCUAGCGUUGUUCGGAAUCAUUGGGCGUAAGGGGCGCGUAGGCGGCCGAUCAAGUCGGAGGUGAAAUCCCUCGGCUCAACUGAGGAAUUGCCUUCGAUACUGUUCGGCUUGAGUCCUGGAGAGGGUAGCGGAAUUUCCGGUGUAGCGGUGAAAUGCGUAGAUAUCGGAAGGAACAUCAGUGGCGAAGGCGGCUCUCUGGGACGGUACUGACGCUGAGACGCGAAAGCGUGGGGAGCGAACAGG
rnacentral:rRNA from 1 species